GACGAACGCUGGCGGCGUGCCUAAUACAUGCAAGUUGAGCGAUGAAGAUUGGUGCUUGCACCAAUUUGAAGAGCAGCGAACGGGUGAGUAACGCGUGGGGAAUCUGCCUUUGAGCGGGGGACAACAUUUGGAAACGAAUGCUAAUACCGCAUAAUAACUUUAAACAUAAGUUUUAAGUUUGAAAGAUGCAAUUGCAUCACUCAAAGAUGAUCCCGCGUUGUAUUAGCUAGUUGGUGAGGUAAAGGCGCACCAAGGCGAUGAUACAUAGCCGACCUGAGAGGGUGAUCGGCCACAUUGGGAAUGGGACACGGCCCAAACUCCUACGGGAGGCAGCAGUAGGGAAUCUUCGGCAAUGGACGAAAGUCUGACCGAGCAACGCCGCGGGAGUGAAGAAGGUUUUCGGAUCGUAAAACUCGGUUGGUAGAGAAGAACGUUGGUGAGAGUGGAAAGCUCAUCAAGUGACGGUAACUACCCAGAAAGGGACGGCUAACUACGUG
rnacentral:rRNA from 1 species